AAGAAGUAUGAAAACAGUCUCUGUCCUUAAAGAAGGCAUUACAUUUUGUCAUAUACAUUUUAAUGGACAAUGAAAAAGAUGAAGAAAAUGAGAAAUGGAGAAAUUGUGACUUGUUCUGGUUAUUUGUUGAUCUUCAUACAUGGAAAGGGCCAAAAUAACACCAAGGGAUAUCUUCUGACUCUCCUAUAAGUUGGAUUUAAGUGAGGCAGAGUUGUGUGAAGACAUAAGUCUCACUCUCUCUUCUGGAGUCAUCAAAGACCAAUGGCAAAACAAAAGUCAAGAGGAUUGGUGAUGGUCUGGGAUGCUGUGGAUGACCUUGGCUUCAUUGAUGUCUGACCCAGUUCUAAGCUCUUCACAAGAUCUUCUCCUACUACCUUCAUAUUCAUUGGAAUAAAUUGUUCUCAUCUACCCCUUCUACUAAGUAA
rnacentral:lncRNA from 1 species